rnacentral:ncRNA from 2 species
CUUUCAACGAAAUCAAUAGCCUAUAUAAUGCCGUAAUAUGGACGGUAGUUCCUACCCAAAGCCGUAAACUUUGGACUAUAAGCGAAUUGAACGUCAGC